UACGUAGGGGGCAAGCGUUAUCCGGAUUUACUGGGUGUAAAGGGAGCGUAGACGGUGUGGCAAGUCUGAUGUGAAAGGCAUGGGCUCAACCUGUGGACUGCAUUGGAAACUGUCAUACUUGAGUGCCGGAGGGGUAAGCGGAAUUCCUAGUGUAGCGGUGAAAUGCGUAGAUAUUAGGAGGAACACCAGUGGCGAAGGCGGCUUACUGGACGGUAACUGACGUUGAGGCUCGAAAGCGUGGGGAGCAAACA
rnacentral:rRNA from 1 species